rnacentral:lncRNA from 1 species
UCGGCAUAUACAAUUCAACUCUCAAAGCUCAGAAUCUUAUGACAUCACAAGCUAUGGAUAUUACAUAGUGCUCUAACUCCAGAAUAUCUAAAUCAAAAGAAAUACAGAAGUGUUGUAACUACAAGAGAGAAUGGAGAGGGACUCCUCAGUCUGCAAAUGCGACAGAUAUACCUCGAAGUCUCUGAAGGAUCGCCUUGACUCAAGGGUGGUAGGGCUGAGCCAAAGAACUUGGAUCUAUACAUGAAAAACAUGUGCAGAAAGGGCAUGACUACACCAUAGCGGUACUCAGUAAUUGACAAGCCUAACCUCGAUCAAGUAGUGACGAGGAAGGUCAGGGCCUUACUGGUUAUAACUGAAAAAUGAGGCAAAACAGUAUUGAGUAUAACAAUAUAAUUUAAAUGCUAACAGUAUGAAGUAACAUAGGAUAAUAAGAAUAACAACAAAUACAAUAGAGAAAACAUCAUAAAAAGAAUACAGCUCAACACAGACAACCAGGGAUCUACCAGGAUACCGUCCUGUAGCCCCCUAAAUGUAAAUAUCCAACAAACCGAGGAUCUACCAGGAUACCGUCAUGUAACCCCCAAAUGUAAAUGUCCAGUGGAUCUCCCGGGUGUCGUCCCAUAGUCCAACUCAUAGUGCACUGGGGAUCUACUGGAAUCCCGAUCCGUAGUCCCCAAAUGUAAAUACCCAGUACUGGGGAAAUCUAUCAGGUGCAGUCCCGUAGUCUCAAUGUUAAUGUGCAGAGGGAUCUACCGGAAUACAAAUCCGCAAUCCUAAAGUAAACAUGCAGGGGGAUUUACUGGGAUACCGUCCCGUAGUCCCAAAGUAAACACACAGCAGCAACACGAAAAAUAUUCAGUUUACACCAAGGUAAAACAGGUAUUUCUAACCUAGCAUGCUACACAGAACUCAAAUAAAGUAGUUUGAGCAAGUAAAGAAAUUAAGUCAAUUAGACAUGCUUCCCGAAGCUAACAGUAGGCUUAAAUUGCAAGUAGUAUAAACAGGGAAGAAAACACAGUUAUAGUUACUUAAUGAAAUCAGGAUUUUCAACAAUUAGCACAUGUACGCACUCGUCACCUCACGUACAAGGAAUUUCAUAUAUCAACAAUACCAAAUCCAAAGGGGAGUUCCCCCACACAAGGUUAGGCAAGCUACUAACCUCGAACCGGCUCAAAAAUUAACCCAAAACCACACUUUCGCCAUGAGUACUCAACUCCACAUGGCCCAAAUCUAUUCAAAUCAAUUACAUAAUGUAAAUAUAACUUCAAGUAACUAAUUCCACUAAUUAAUUCUAAGCUAACACGCGAAAUUAAGAAAAUUGCCCAAAAAGUCCUUUGGGCCCACGUCUCGGAACCGGGUAAAAGUUACGGAUUAUGAACCUUCAUUCACUCACGAGUCUAAACAUACCAAAAUUAUCCAAAUCCGAUGUCAAACACCCAAUCUGAACUCGAUAAUUCAGUCUAAUAACUUUUCGGAAAUCUCUCCAAAAUUCGUCUCCUACCGAGCACCCAAUUCAAUUUUGUGAUAUGAACUCAAAACCCUCAAUUUUGAACUUUAUGUUUUGCCCAGACGCAACCUUAAUCGCGAUGGCAGAAACUGCCACGUGAUCGCGAAGAGCAACAUCACUGACCCCUCCCCCCAAAUUAACCCAAUACAAAUGCGAUAAUCCCUACGCGAUCGCGAUGUUGCACUGUUCAGAUCUACACCAAUGUCAAUUCCUAAUUUUUUUUCAUUUCACCCAAUACAAAAGCUGGCGUAACCUCAAUUUUUUUGUCACACACAUAUUCAACAAUGUGUUCACUUAUGAAUGUUUAUGUAGCAUGCUUUUAAUCAGAUUUUCUGGUGUCAACCGAGCAUUUAUGAUUGUUAUGAAAUUCUAUUAUCUUGAAUAAUGUGGAAUCUUUUAUUCUGGUUGCAUAUACUAUUCAUCUACUUAUGUCCUCGUAGCAUUUCAACUCAUAUCUCUUGGAGCAUGAUCUAACUACAUUAAAUUCAACUUUAUUCCUCAUUUCCACCUUAUAGAAACAUUUAGACAGGCUCUUCUUGUUCUAAAAAAUUGAUCCUAACUUUAUUUCAUUAGGCAAUGCAUCUUGUCAAGUAUUGUACCUGGCGGAGAUUCUUUUGUUUUUUCUCUCUUCCUUUUUCUUGUUGAAGUUUUGCCAACUUCUCCAGUUGUUGAGUUUACUGGUAUGAGCUCUAUAUGGUCUUGAAUUUGGUUGUCACCUAAUAUUGUAGUGUCUAUGAAUAAAAUCUAUUGCAUUGACUUUUGGUUGUCUCAUUCCAUUAUUAGUUUGUUUACCCUAAAAUCUGUGUAACAAUUAAACUUAUAUUGUGGUUUUACAGAUACGUGAUUUAGUCCAAUAACAAUUGAUAAACAAGGAAUUAAAUGUCUAAAUUGAAGAAAUAAUGCAAGUCAAACCGGUGUGCAAACUAAGUCUUGACCUCGAGUUAUGGUGGCCUCAAGGUAGGUUAGCAAGAACAAGAAAAUUGUAAGGAAACUCUAAUGAAUAGUAAGCAAGAAAGUGUAGAAUGUACAUUUCUUUGUCAAUGAAUCGUGUGUUACAAAUGAAUGGGUUCCCCUUUAUAUAGUAGGUAGAUCCUAAAUAAGGUACACUUCUAAUUACAGUAAGGAAUUUUAUUGGACAACUAUCUAACCGCCAAGUACAAAUCUGUUCCGGAAUUUAUGCCGGGAUCUUCGGGCCGUUGCGGGAAUCACACUCUUUCUGUUAUUAAACCAUAACGGUAUUAUCUCGAGGAUGAUCAUACUCGGCCUUGGUUUUCAUCGAGCAGUUUGAUCUUCAGGUUCUAUACUUCACCAUCGGGCUCGAGCUAGGUCCAUUUUGAGCUUUCACUCGAAGCAACUCCCUGAGCCUACGAAAUCGGACAUACCUAAUUUCGACCAUAUACAAAUAGUCCCCGUGUUUCUUAGAAUAAGAUAAUAAGAUGAUAAGAAAUAAUUUGAGCCUCGAUUUUCUGGAGCCCAUAAUGAUGAUGUCAUCCAUGUGAAGUAAGAGCUCGAAGUAAUCGAAACGUCCCGUCAGUUCGCUUCCCCAAAAUAUUAAAUGCUUGCUAGUGGUGGUCGACCACUAGCGCUGUUGAACCUUCGCCGUUUGCGUAUAAAUACAAGGCUCCUUAUUCAAAUCAAAAACUUUACUUUCAUCUUCAAACCACCUUAAAACUUCCCUUAUUUCUCCCCCUCUUCAUCUCUCUCUCUCACUACCUGUUAUUCCCGCCCUUUUAACGCCGAAAGAUAUCAAACUCUACCUCUUUCCGCUUCCUCUAACCUAAAUCAAUGGCGAAAACCUCCAAAAACGUUCCUCAAAAGGAAAGCUUCUGUUGGAUAUAAAUUAUUUUUAUAUUUUAAUAAAAAUAUAUAAAAUUUAGGUAUAGAACAUGACCAAUUUAUAUUCUAUUCUUGUACUUUUCUAACAAUUCUUGCAGAAAAAAGAAUACAUGGAAAAAGAGAAAAAGAAAGAACCUACAGUUCAAGGAAGAAGGAUACAUACGUGACAACUUCAUCUAAGACUACAUAAAGUCAAGAGAUACAAAAGUUAUGGCAAAUUCUCACCAAAAUUUUAUGACAAAUUGCUAUGUCAAUUUCUCAUCAAGUCCAUAUGAUAUAUUGAUAUUAUCUUGCAAAUUCUCACCAAUGUCCUGUAGAAAUUUUCCUAUAAAUAGGCAUAUAUUUGUAGAAGAAAGAUCAUCCCACUUUGUAUCCAAUUUCCUAUCUAGUUUUUUCUAAGUUUCUAAAAAGAAACAGAAUAGUAAUUUUAGUCCCUUCCUCUAGUCAUUCACUUUGCAUUAAAAAUAUUCUUAGUCUUUUAAAAGUAUUUUUUAGCUUUUCUUACUUCAUAAUGAAGUAAUAUUUUUUGUUGGGAUAGUUGAUGAAUCUUGAUAUAAUUAUAAUUCUAUCUCAGUUUCAAUACAUUCUUGGCCUGAAACUCUAUUUAUAUUUCAUAUUGUGCUGGAAUAAUAAUAUUUUAAUCAUUAUUAUCACAUCUACGUAUUUUAUAUCUAUGUUAUUCUUAUAUUAAUUUUGUAAUUUUCACGGAGCAAAAUUAGUAUAUAAUAACUGAUGAAUAGAACAUUAGAGUGAAAGUAAUUUUUGGUAAGAUUAUUAUUUUAAGUCUGUAAUCUUGCUUUCCUCCAUUUUAAUUCUCACGGAGGAAUUGUUAAAGGCAAGAUUAUUGAUUUUCUAGUAAAAAUAUUCUCACGAAGUUUUUACUACAUGUAACGACCCGAGUGGCCAUUUUAAUUUUUAGAACCCCGUCUCCCUAAAUAAAACUUUUCGUGCUUGCUUUAACUAAUUUACGACCUGCGGGGUUGGUUGGUUCGGGAUUUGGAAGAGUUUUGGUUGUAAUAGGCACACCUAAUUUCUUAAGAUUUUCUUAAAAUUCUAAGUUUGACUUUGGUCAAUAUUUGUAGCAAACGGACCCGGACUUGUGUUUUGACGGUCCCGGAGGGUCCGUAGGAAAAUAUAGGACCAGGGUGUAUGCCCAGAAUCGAAUUUCAAGGUCCAUAGCCCGAAUAAUGAAUUUUUGUUAGAAAUUAUUAAACUGAAAUUCUAAGGAUUUAAUGAAAUUAAAUAAUGCUUGAUCAUAUUGAUAUCGGGCCCGUAUGUUGGUUCCGGAGCCUGGUAUAGGUCUAAUAUAACAUUUAAGACUUGCCCGCAAAAUUUGAUGUCAAUCCGAGUAGUAUAAGUACAUUUCGGCGUGCUAGAAGUGAAUAGAAGAACUUGAAGUUCAUAAUUUUGAUUAAAUUGGUUUUAGGGGUGAUUCUUAGAUUAAGCAUUGUUUCGGGCAUUUCGAUGGUUCGAGCGAGUCCGUUUUAUGAUUUCAAACUUUUCGGUAUGUUCGGGCGGGGGCCAGGGGGCUCCGAGCGUCAAUCGGACGAGGCUCGAGUGAAGUUGGAAAACAUGGGAAGGAGCUGAAGCUCCAGUCUUCUAUCAUAACCGCACAUGCGGUUGGUCAGCCGCAGGUGCGAGACUGCAGAAGCGGCCAAGGCAGGCCAAGCUAGAAGUCGGAGAAGUGGCUAAGCUUCCGCAGAAGCGGUUGCUUCCCGCAGAAAUGGCCCAGUGGCCCAGCUGAAUUUCCGCAGACGGGGACACCUUUCCGUAGAUACGGUGGGCGCAGAUGCGGACCCAGGACCGCAGAUGCGUAUAUCACUGAACCAGUGACCUUCAUUUAUUACGGGCUCUAAGCUAUUUUUGUUCAUUUUCACUCAUUUAUUGGGCGAUUUGGAGUUCUUCGGAGAAGACUUUCACCUAGCAUCUUGAGGUAAGUUUAUCCUAUUUAUUUCUAGUUUAAUACUUGAACCUCGGGUAGAUUAACACGCAAAGAUUAAUGAAAAUAAUUGGAUUAGAGCAAAACCUAGGGUUGUGAUAAAAGUUGGAUUUAACCAUGAAAUUUGUUAUAGAAUGAAGUAGAAAUCAUAUAUUAUUGAUCCUUAGGUUAUAAAGAACAACUUUCUUCGAAAAGUUUCGGAAUCCGGGCACGUGGGCCUGAAGUCAGAUUUUAGGAAACUUGUGUUUAAGGUUGGGAAAUUACUUUAGUAAUUGUAAUGCGAACUCUUAAGCUUGUAUUGACUAAUUCCUACCUCAUUUAAUUAGUUUCGGAUCGUUCGGCUCCAAAUUGAGGGUUUGAGCACGUUCUUGAUAUUGGUGUCACACUUCCUUUUUACCUACACCCCCGUAAAGGGGUAUAUAAGAGAGUUUUUCCAAUUUAAGUGACAAUCGAAACGAGAUUACUUUAUUUAAAAUUAAGAGUCGCUACUUGGGAUAAUUUAUGGUGUCCCAAGUCACCGGUUCAAAUCCCUAAUCGAGGAAAAGGAUUGACUCUGUAUUACAGUCCGCGAACCAGAAAUCCGGGUAAGGAAUUCUGUUAACCCGGGAGAAGGUGUUAGGCACUCCCGAGUUCCGUGGUUCUAGGACGGUCGCUUUGAUCAUACUUGGCUUAUUAAAUUAUUUAAUUACUGAUUUUAGAACCUAUGUGCUAUUGCCUCUUUUAAUUAAGAAAUUAUCUUUAAACAGGUCACGCGUACGUGUACCCGUUUGUUUGGCGCGUCAAAAAUCAUGUCACGCAAACGUGUCCACAAUUAAUAAUGCUUUAUCAUUAUUAAUAGAAUUUGGCCGAAGUUGCGCGAAUCGCAUACUCCCAGUUUGUUUCUAGAAAUCGCAAUCAUGUCACAUGAACGUGUCCACAACCACGAUAGUAUAUUAAACGCAAGCAUAAAGCAUUCUCAAGCACACUACUAUGAAAAUAGGCUUUAAGUUCCAACUAGCUUUAGCAAACAUGAAACACUACGAUAGAUAUUAUUACACAUAAUUUCUGAAAUAUUCCAUGAACUUCAAGCCAGUGAUAUUUCGCUAAAACAAAAAACCUUCCAAACUAAAAAUGGAACAUCCAGCAAGGCACCAUGAUUACGAACCCAAUGCUUUAUUUCUGUCCUAGUUGAUUCUGAUUCGACAUUAGAAGUAUAUUGAUUUUUCCCCAAUAACCGAAUACUUUUGUCUGUAAAUACUGCAUAUUUGAUUCCAUCUAUAAAUCGAUUUUCUUCCCUAUGAGUUAAAGUCUCAAUAAGAAUGGUAGUUCUUACUGUUCAUUAUGAUAUGAAUUUAAUCAGUGAGGCUAACUUGAAAAACCCAAAUAUUCACUUAAUUUAAGGGAAAAAUUUCCUUGACAAUAAUUAGUCCAAAAUUCAAAGUUAAUGCAUCAACUUGACAAAGCUUAAAAGGAUCUCUACACCUAAAUGUGAUGGAUUACCAAAAUGCCUUCAGCGACUUAACCUGUAUACGAACUAUUGAGAGACACUAACAUUUAUAUACCAACUUGAUGUGGACAAAUUCUUAAGGAAUCGUUAGUUAAGAAUACAGAUAACCAGAAAUGACAUCCCAUAAUGAGAAGAACUGCUUGAGACUUAGGAAAAUAUUUAAUGGGAUCUCGCCCCAAAAGAAUACCAUAACGCAACAGACCACUCGGCGAUGGUGAGAUUGGAAAAAAGAUUGGACUAAACUUCAUGAGAAAUUGAUCCAACAGCUUAUUUAUAUGCCUAAAAUAAUCUUAACUAUUCCAACAAAACUCAGAUGAUAGAAAAACUAGGAAGAAUGAGCCAACAUCACAUUUAAAAUCACUAAAAAAAAAGUUAUAACAAAGAGAAAGAGAAGAGUAUGGACCUUUUAUAACUUUCAGAACAUCAAAAAUCUUUCAAUUGAUUUACAAGACGAACUUAUCGAUGGGGUUGAAAAUGAACAGACCCGUCACCCGAAAGCCACGACAGAUAUCUCAAACCAGCAACGACCUUGACAGGACCGCGAAUCUCUCCGGGAACCUCAGACUAUGAUCUCAACUCCAUUGGUUCAAUGUUGUAGCUGCUGAUGCACCAACGUGUGCUAAGGUAGUAGCAGCAGUAGGUAUCAAGAGAAAAUAAGAAGCCAGUGGAAUCUCGGAUGAGUGAAAGGAUCGACGAAGCUCGAAAAUGUGGCGCGUGGCUGAUUUCCGACGUUCUUUGUGUGUGUUUGUUUAUAUGGGUGUGUAUUGCAGCUAAAGGUUACGAAAAUGAGUAGGGGGUUUUAUUUCUUGUCUUAUGAGAUUCAAGAGUAGCUUGUCGUCGGUGAUGAAAUCUGGCAGCAGCAGUAACGGUCAGAAAUCGCUUAAGAUAGGAGCUUCAUUUGGCUGGUGGACGACUGCUUUUUGGAGUUAGGGAGAUGGGGUACACCGCUGUUCUCUUGCUCCUGAAGAACAUGUGACGACACCUCUAUAUCUCUAUAGGUUACCGAUCUUUUCUUCUUUUGGUUAUCUUCGGCUGUUCUCUCAAGGUUAGAGAUGAUAGCCCUUUUUUUGUGUCGUAGUUUCAAGAAGAGAGCUCUGUAGAAGAUGAUAAAAACCGGCUGAUUCCAAUUU